ensembl:rRNA 5S_rRNA 5S ribosomal RNA
GCUUACGGCCACACCGCCUGGUUCACGUUUGAUCUCGGAAGCUAAGAUAGGUUGGGCCUGGUUAGUACUUGGAUGGGAGACCGCCUGGGAAUACCAGGUGCUGUAAGCU